GUCGCGGCGGCGACCGUGGGAACCCAUCGAGAGUUUCCGAGUAAAACCGUCGGGAUGACGGGGAAGCGGUCGGGCCUGGGCCGUUGCCGGCAUUUCUUCUGGCUGGGCGUCCUCUUCGACACCGUGGGCGUGGCGGUGCUCUUCACGGGCGUCUUCGCCGACCUGCUCUUCUACGACAUGCUGCUCUACCUGGGCUCCAUCAUCAUCUUCUUCAGUCUCCUCUGGUGGGUCUCCUGGUACACCGGCAACAUCGAACUGGCCUCCGAGGACGCCGUGCCCAAGGCCGCCCGGUCCCGGUCGGGCUCCGUGGUGGAAUCGUUACGCCGGAGCGUCAGCGUCCGCUUCUCCCAGACCUUCGAGAGCUUCUCCCAGACCCUGGAGCUGCUGCGGCGGCGCCGGAGGGGGCGCUGGCCCAGGUUGAAUUUGAGGAGUGCCUCCCAGAUCUUGGUGGUCCCCGGCUCGCCGGAAUGGGGGAGGAAGGACCCAGACUGGAGGCUGCGCAUGGCGGACGUUAGCCAAAGGGAUUUGGGCCCCUUGCCUGAAGGUGACGGAAGUUCCGAGGCAGCUGGCUCCUCGGGGCUUACAGCUGCGGGGAGGACCCAUCUGGAGCGGCCUGUGUUCCCUGUGGAAUCCAUGGAACUGCGCCCUCCUUUUCCCUCCAGGAGCCAGCCUGUGAUUUCCUUGGUCUCUACUCUUCAGCCUUGCGCCCUUCCUGCUUCUAAGAGCGAGUUUGUCGUUUCCUUGACCUCUGGAAGCCAGCCUCCAGAUGCCCUCCCCUUGACGAGCCAGCCUAUAGCCCCUGUGGUCGCCAAGAGCCAUCCACCGGUGCCUGUGUUCUCUCAGGGCCCCUUCCAGGUCCCUGUGGCUGCUGAAAGCCACCUUCUGGUACCUGUGGCCUCUCAGAGCCAGGAUCUCCCUCCGUCCCGUCAAACUCAGCCUCUCAGUGUUGAGGAUUCUGAAAGCCAGACCCUGACACCCCAGGCCUCUGAAAUGCCACUUUCGUCUACCCAGUCUUUUCAGAACGUGGACCUACAGACCUGUAGUAUCGAGGACUUUGUGAUCAUUUAUCGCUCCCACCAGUUCUCCAGCACGUUAGUCCCGAUUUCUGCAAGUCAGUCUUCAGCUCUCAUGGAGAUUUCUAAGAAGAUAGUGGCUCAGGUUUUUGAAAGUCUGAAACUACCCCAGAA
rnacentral:lncRNA from 1 species